AGAGUUUGAUCCUGGCUCAGGAUGAACGCUGGCGGUCUGCUUAACACAUGCAAGUCGAACGGAGUACUUCGGUACUUAGUGGCGGACGGGUGAGUAACGCGUGAGGAUCUGCCCUCAGGAGGGGGACAACGACUGGAAACGGUCGCUAAUACCCCAUAUGCCGAGAGGUGAAAUGUUUUUUCGCCUGAGGAUGAGCUCGCGUCAGAUUAGCUAGUUGGUGGGGUAACGGCCUACCAAGGCGACGAUCUGUAGCUGGUCUGAGAGGAUGAUCAGCCACACUGGGACUGAGACACGGCCCAGACUCCUACGGGAGGCAGCAGUGGGGAAUUUUCCGCAAUGGGCGAAAGCCUGACGGAGCAAGACCGCGUGAGGGAUGACGGCCUAAUGGUUGUAAACCUCUUUUCUCUGGGAAGAUAAUGACGGUACCAGAGGAAUAAGCCUCGGCUAACUCCGUGCCAGCAGCCGCGGUAAUACGGAGGAGGCAAGCGUUAUCCGGAAUUAUUGGGCGUAAAGCGUCCGUAGGUGGUUAAUCAAGUCAGCUGUUAAAGAGCGGAGCUUAACUCCGUUAGAGCGGUUGAAACUGAUUGACUAGAGUUUGGUAGGGGUCGAGGGAAUUCCCAGUGUAGCGGUGAAAUGCGUAGAUAUUGGGAAGAACACCGGUGGCGAAAGCGCUCGACUGGGCCUGAACUGACACUGAGGGACGAAAGCUAGGGGAGCGAAAGGGAUUAGAUACCCCUGUAGUCCUAGCCGUAAACGA
rnacentral:rRNA from 1 species